rnacentral:lncRNA from 1 species
GAAGAACAUGUCCUUGUUGCUGUCUUACCCUUUAAGACACGGAAGAUUAAGGGAAAAGAUGAGGCAGUAGGAGACAAGAGAGAUGCAGACUGUUGUGAGGCUACAGGUAUAGAUGGCGGAGAAGAUUCAGACCCAGGCUCACUGCAGGAGCUGGGCUCCCACAUUUGUUAUAUAGCAGCACAUGCAAAGGCAAAGUGGCGGGAAAUAAGCUGAGACAUCACCAGGAGACAUUUGAAUCCAGAAGGGAAUCAUGCCAUCAUGAAGUAAUGGACCCCUGUAGGAAAGAAUAACCAUGGUCAUCCAUAGAGUAACAACAAUCUUUCACAAAGAAUGUCUGUUAAAAACCACUACAUGCUA